rnacentral:rRNA from 1 species
CCUUCUUUUUCUCUCUUUCCUCUUCCUUCCUGGGCGUAAAGCGUGCGCAGGCGGUUUUGUAAGCCAGAUGUGAAAUCCCCGGGCUUAACCUGGGAAUGGCAUUUGGGACUGCAAGGCUGGAGUGCGGCAGAGGAGACUGGAAUUCCUGGUGUAGCAGUGAAAUGCGUAGAUAUCAGGAGGAAUACCGAUGGCGAAGGCAGGUCUCUGGGCUGACACUGACGCUCAUGCACGAAAGCGUGGGGAGCAAACAGGA